rnacentral:rRNA from 1 species
UACGGGGGGGGCAAGCGUUGUUCGGAAUUACUGGGCGUAAAGGGCUCGUAGGCGGCCAACUAAGUCCGACGUGAAAUCCCAAGGCUUAACCUUGGAACUGCGUCGGAUACUGGAUGGCUUGAAUUCGGGAGAGGGAUGGCAGAAUUCCAGGUGUAGCGGUGAAAUGCGUAGAUAUCUGGAGGAAUACCGGUGGCGAAGGCGGCAAUCCUGGACCGACGAUUGACGCUGAUGAGCGAAAGCUAGGGGAGCAAAGCAGGAUUAAGAUGACC